rnacentral:rRNA from 1 species
GGGAUGAACGCUGGCGGCGUGCUUAACACAUGCAAGUCGAACGAUGAAGGCUGGAGCUUGCUCUGGCUGGAUUAGUGGCGAACGGGUGAGUAACACGUGAGUAACCUGCCCCAGACUCUGGGAUAAGCGCUGGAAACGGCGUCUAAUACCGGAUACGAGCUUCCACCGCAUGGUGAGGAGCUGGAAAGAAUUUCGGUCUGGGAUGGACUCGCGGCCUAUCAGCUUGUUGGUGAGGUAAUGGCUCACCAAGGCGACGACGGGUAGCCGGCCUGAGAGGGUGACCGGCCACACUGGGACUGAGACACGGCCCAGACUCC